CUAGAGUUAUACUUGGCCAAGGAAGGGACAGAUCUGGCACCAGGGGUAGGAAUCCUGAGCAGACUUAGUGCCACGACCAUCUCAGCUCAGAAAAGAAGGACUGAGACAGACAAGCAUGGCUACCUUUGUGAUCUGCAACCUUCAUUAAGGACAUCCCGCUCCAUCUGUUUGAAGCCUUUCCUUCAGAACUCUAGAGGAGCAACACUUCCUAUAACUGCUCCCUGAUGAAGAACUGUUAUUCCACACAAGUGAAAAUGUCUGCCUAAUCAAAGUCUCCUUCUUUCAGGAUUUGAGUGAUUUUAAAAAAUAGAGGACGGUUAACUACGUCUGAGUGGG